ACAGCAGCAGCCGCGGGAAUACGUAGGUGGCAAGCGUUGUCCGGAAUUAUUGGGCGUAAAGGGCUCGCAGGCGGUUUCUUAAGUCUGAUGUGAAAGCCCCCGGCUCAACCGGGGAGGGUCAUUGGAAACUGGGAAACUUGAGUGCGGAAGAGGAGAGUGGAAUUCCACGUGUAGCGGUGAAAUGCGUAGAGAUGUGGAGGAACACCAGUGGCGAAGGCGACUCUCUGGUCUGUAACUGACGCUGAGGAGCGAAAGCGUGGGGAGCGAACAGGAUUAGAUACCCGCGUAGUCCCUGUCUCUUAUAC
rnacentral:rRNA from 1 species